GUUUGGAGCAUUGGGGGGUGGGUGUCAGGGUCCUGGAGAAAGUGACUUGCUGAGCAGUUUUUGGUUAAAGUCUGCAGCUUUGGAGGUGUGGACCAGACCUGAGUCUGUAUUGCAGCAGACUAGCGUAUGUGGCUCAACAAGGCAGGGUUCUGGAUUCCCAAGCUGGCAGGGAAAACGGGCUCAGAGGUAACUUCAGCACA